rnacentral:piRNA from 1 species
AUGUGUUUUCAUAGGACUUUGUGGAA